UACAGAGGGGGCGAGCGUUGUUCGGAAUUACUGGGCGUAAAGGGCGCGUAGGCGGCCUUCUAAGUCGAACGUGAAAUCCCCGGGCUCAACCCGGGAACUGCGUCCGAUACUGGGAGGCGUGAAUCCGGGAGAGGGAUGUGGAAUUCCAGGUGUAGCGGUGAAAUGCGUAGAUAUCUGGAGGAACAUCGGUGGCGAAGGCGGCAUCCUGGACCGGUAUUGACGCUGAGGCGCGAAAGCCAGGGGAGCAAACGGG
rnacentral:rRNA from 1 species